UGGGGAAUAUUGGACAAUGCGGGAAACCGUGAUCCAGCCAUGCCGCGUGAGUGACGAAGGCCCUAGGGUUGUAAAGCUCUUUUGGCAGGGACGAUAAUGACGGUACCUGCAGAAUAAGCCCCGGCUAACUUCGAGCCAGCAGCCGCGGUAAUACGAAGGGGGCUAGCGUUGUUCGGAAUUACUGGGCGUAAAGCGCGCGUAGGCGGACUGGUCAGUUGGGGGUGAAAUCCCGGGGCUCAACCUCGGAACUGCCUCCAAUACUGCCAGUCUCGAGUCCGGAAGAGGUGAGUGGAAUUCCUAGUGUAGAGGUGAAAUUCGUAGAUAUUAGGAAGAACACCAGUGGCGAAGGCGGCUCACUGGUCCGGUACUGACGCUGAGGUGCGAAAGCGUGGGGAGCAAACAGGAUUAGAUACCCCGGUAGUCC
rnacentral:rRNA from 1 species